UGCGUAGGCGGCCGGGUAAGUCACGUGUGAAAGGCCGGGGCUCAACCCCGGAUCGGCAUGUGGGACUGCCUGGCUCGAGCACGGUAGAGGCGAGUGGAAUUCCUGGUGUAGCGGUGGAAUGCGUAGAGAUCAGGAAGAACACCGGUGGCGAAGGCGGCUCGCUGGGCCGUUGCUGACGCUGAGGCACGAAAGCGUGGGGAGCAAACAGGAUUAGAUACCCUGGUAGUCCACGCUGUAAACGAUGGACACUAGGCGUCGGGGGGAGCGACCCUCCCGGUGCCGUCGCUACGCAAUAAGUGUCCCGCCUGGGGAGUACGGCCGCAAGGCUGAA
rnacentral:rRNA from 1 species